UCUCAGUUCGGAUUGUAGUCUGCAACUCGACUACAUGAAGCUGGAAUCGCUAGUAAUCGCGAAUCAGAAUGUCGCGGUGAAUACGUUCCCGGGUCUUGUACACACCCGCCCGUCACACCAUGGGAGUUGGUAACGCCCGAAGUCAGUGACCCAACCUUAGGGAGGGAGCUGCCGAAGGCGGGACUGAUAACUGGGGUGAAGUCGUAACAAGGUACC
rnacentral:rRNA from 1 species